UUAAAUUGAAGAGUUUGAUCAUGGCUCAGAUUGAACGCUGGCGGCAGGCCUAACACAUGCAAGUCGAGCGGAAACGAGUUAUCAGAACCUUCGGGGAACGAUAA
rnacentral:rRNA from 1 species